AUUGAACGCUGGCGGCGUGCCUAACACAUGCAAGUCGAGCGGUAACAGGUGUAGCAAUACAUGCUGACGAGCGGCGAACGGGUGAGUAAUGCUUCGGAAUCUGCCCAUGUAGUGGGGAAUAACCAGCCGAAAGGUUGGCUAAUACCGCAUACGACCCUUGCCCACAAGGCAAAGGUGAAAGCAGGGGAUCGCAAGACCUUGCGCUAUUGGAUGAGCCGAAGUCGGAUUAGCUAGUUGGUAGGGUAACGGCCUACCAAGGCGACGAUCCGUAGCUGGUCUGAGAGGACGACCAGCCACACUGGGACUGAGACACGGCCCAGACUCCUACGGGAGGCAGCAGUGGGGAAUCUUGCGCAAUGGGCGAAAGCCUGACGCAGCGACGCCGCGUGAGGGAUGACGGCCU
rnacentral:rRNA from 1 species